rnacentral:lncRNA from 1 species
CUCUUUAUAUAGGCUUGAUUGGGCUUGGACUCUGAAUAUUCAGUUGAUAGAAUCUUUUAUCUUAUAUCUUCCAAAUAACUAAAAGAUUUAGAUAAUUAUAACAUUAUUUGGAAGAUAUUUUCUGUUGAUAUUUCCCAAUUAAAUUAAUUCAACAACUGAAUUUUAUCUUUUAGUUUUUCUGAUUUUCCAAAAUUACACAAAUACCCUGAAAUUUCCUCUAUCUGCGUUUUAGCCCCUUCCUUUCUUUUAAAAUUUGCAGAAAAAC